UGCGUAGGCGGACUUUCAAGUCAGGUGUGAAAUCCCCGGGCUCAACCUGGGAACUGCGCUUGAAACUGGAAGUCUAGAGUAUGUGAGGGGUUAGCGGAAUUCCCGGAGUAGCGGUGAAAUGCGUAGAGAUCGGGAAGAACACCGGUGGCGAAGGCGGCUAACUGGCACAUGACUGACGCUGAGGCACGAAAGCGUGGGGAGCGAACG
rnacentral:rRNA from 1 species